AGUAACGGCGAGUGAAGCGGCAACAGCUCAAAUUUGAAAUCUGGCCCCCAGGGCCCGAGUUGUAAUUUGCAGAGGAUGCUUUUGGCGCGGUGCCUUCCGAGUUCCCUGGAACGGGACGCCAUAGAGGGUGAGAGCCCCGUCUGGUCGGACACCAAGCCAGUGUAAAGCUCCUUCGACGAGUCGAGUAGUUUGGGAAUGCUGCUCUAAAUGGGAGGUAUAUGUCUUCUAAAGCUAAAUACCGGCCAGAGACCGAUAGCGCACAAGUAGAGUGAUCGAAAGAUGAAAAGCACUUUGAAAAGAGGGUUAAACAGUACGUGAAAUUGUUGAAAGGGAAGCGUUCAUGACCAGACUUGGGCCCGGUGAAUCAUCCAGCGUUCUCGCUGGUGCACUUCGCCGGGCCCAGGCCAGCAUCAGUUCGCCGCGGGGGAUAAAAGCUUCGGGAACGUGGCUCCCUCGGGAGUGUUAUAGCCCGUUGCACAAUACCCUGCGGUGGACUGAGGUCCGCGCUCCGCAAGGAUGCUGGCGUAAUGGUCAUCAGCGACCCGUCUUGAAACACGGACCAAGGAGUCGUCUUCGUAUGCGAGUGUUCGGGUGUCAAACCCCUACGCGUAAUGAAAGUGAACGCAGGUGAGAGCUUCGGCGCAUCAUCGACCGAUCCUGAUGUUCUCGGAUGGAUUUGAGUAAGAGCAUACGGGGCCGGACCCGAAAGAAGGUGAACUAUGCCUGUAUAGGGUGAAGCCAGAGGAAACUCUGGUGGAGGCUCGCAGCGGUUCUGACGUGCAAAUCGAUCGUCAAAUAUGGGCA
rnacentral:rRNA from 1 species